CCUACGGGAGGCAGCAGUAGGGAAUCUUCCGCAAUGGACGAAAGUCUGACGGAGCAACGCCGCGUGAACGAUGAAGGCCUUCGGGUCGUAAAGUUCUGUUGUUAGGGAAGAACAAGUGCUAGUUGAAUAAGCUGGCACCUUGACGGUACCUAACCAGAAAGCCACGGCUAACUACGUGCCAGCAGCCGCGGUAAUACGUAGGUGGCAAGCGUUGUCCGGAAUUAUUGGGCGUAAAGCGCGCGCAGGCGGUUUCUUAAGUCUGAUGUGAAAGCCCCCGGCUCAACCGGGGAGGGUCAUUGGAAACUGGGAAACUUGAGUGCAGAAGAGGAAAGUGGAAUUCCAAGUGUAGCGGUGAAAUGCGUAGAGAUUUGGAGGAACACCAGUGGCGAAGGCGACUUUCUGGUCUGUAACUGACGCUGAGGCGCGAAAGCGUGGGGAGCAAACAGGAUUAGAUACCCUGGUAGUCCACGCUAGUAAACGAUGAGUGCUAAGUGUUAGAGGGUUUCCGCCCUUUAGUGCUGAAGUUAACGCAUUAAGCACUCCGCCUGGGGAGUACGGUCGCAAGACUGAAACUCGAAAGGAAUUGACG
rnacentral:rRNA from 1 species